rnacentral:rRNA from 1 species
UACGUAGGGCGCAAGCGUUGUCCGGAAUUAUUGGGCGUAAAGAGCUCGUAGGCGGUCUGUCGCGUCGGCUGUGAAAAACCCGAGGCUCAACCUCGGGCCUGCAGUCGAUACGGGCAGACUAGAGUGCUGUAGGGGGAGACUGGAAUUCCUGGUGUAGCGGUGAAAUGCGCAGAUAUCAGGAGGAACACCGGUGGCGAAGGCGGGUCUCUGGGGCAGUAACUGACGUGAGGAGCGAAAAGCCGUGGGGGAGCAAACAGGA